UACGAAGGGGACUAGCGUUGUUCGGAAUCACUGGGCGUAAAGCGCACGUAGGCGGAUUCGUAAGUUAGAGGUGAAAGCCCGGGGCUCAACUCCGGAACUGCCUUUAAGACUGCAUCGCUUGAAUCCAGGAGAGGUGAGUGGAAUUCCGAGUGUAGAGGUGAAAUUCGUAGAUAUUCGGAAGAACACCAGUGGCGAAGGCGGCUCACUGGACUGGUAUUGACGCUGAGGUGCGAAAGCGUGGGGAGCAAACAGG
rnacentral:rRNA from 1 species